AGUCAGAUCUCUUCCUAGAAG
rnacentral:misc_RNA from 1 species